UACGUAGGGGGCAAGCGUUGUCCGGAAUCAUUGGGCGUAAAGAGCGUGUAGGCGGUCCGGUAAGUCGGCUGUGAAAGUCCAGGGCUCAACCCUGGGAUGCCGGUCGAUACUGCCGGACUAGAGUUCGGAAGAGGCGAGUGGAAUUCCCGGUGUAGCGGUGAAAUGCGCAGAUAUCGGGAGGAACACCUAUGGCGAAGGCAGCUCGCUGGGACGUUUACUGACGCUGGAGACGCGGAAGCGUGGGGGAGCAAACAGG
rnacentral:rRNA from 1 species